CCCCUGCGAUCCGAACUGUCGCCGUAUGGUUGGCGUUCCUGGUUCCGCCAGGAUAGGACGCGGGUGCGCA
rnacentral:sRNA from 12 species